rnacentral:rRNA from 1 species
UGGGGAAUUUUGGACAAUGGGCGAAAGCCUGAUCCAGCAAUGCCGCGUGUGUGAAGAAGGCCUUCGGGUUGUAAAGCACUUUUGUCCGGAAAGAAAUCCUUGGCUCUAAUACAGUCGGGGGAUGACGGUACCGGAAGAAUAAGCACCGGCUAACUACGUGCCAGCAGCCGCGGUAAUACGUAGGGUGCAAGCGUUAAUCGGAAUUACUGGACGUAAAGCGUGCGCAGGCGGUUUGCUAAGACCGAUGUGAAAUCCCCGGGCUCAACCUGGGAACUGCAUUGGUGACUGGCAGGCUAGAGUAUGGCAGAGGGGGGUAGAAUUCCACGUGUAGCAGUGAAAUGCGUAGAGAUGUGGAGGAAUACCGAUGGCGAAGGCAGCCCCCUGGGCCAAUACUGACGCUCAUGCACGAAAGCGUGGGGAGCAAACAGGAUUAGAUACCCUGGUAGUCCACGCCCUAAACGAUGUCAACUAGUUGUUGGGGAUUCAUUUCCUUAGUAACGUAGCUAACGCGUGAAGUUGACCGCCUGGGGAGUACGGUCGCAAGAUUAAAACUUAAAUGAAUUGACGGGGUCAUAGCUGUUUCCU